AGCCAGUUUCAUCAUAGCGCCUGAUGGCUUUUGACGGCACUUGAGAACUUCCAAAGUUCUUAAUCUUCAUGUCUUAAAGUGAUGGACUGUCGUUUCUCUUCGAUAAUUUAAGCGGUUCUUGCCAUAAUAUGGAUUUGGUCCAAACCAGCAGGGAUACCUUCUACGUCAACACUAGGACCAGCUGGCACAACUGGGGACGGCUAUGGGAGAGUUUCUUCAGUCUCGAACAUACAUUGCCGUCAACUAGUGGAGGAUACUCUGCAAAUAGUUGCGCCAGCACAACAGCCCAUUCAGCAACCCACUCAGGUCAGUGAUACCCGUUUGUCCCUCCCCGGAUAAAUAUGACAGCACCCCAUCUAAAUGCUGUGGCUUCCUACUUCAGUGCUCCCUCUUCUUUAUGCACCAAAGGGGAGCCCCCACCACCUAGAGGUCCAAGAUUGCCACGGUUAUUUCUCUGACUGGGCGGGCUUUGGAAUGGGCCAUGGCUGCCUGGGAGAGAGGAUGAGCUAGAUUCAUAUGAGGGGUUCAUGGAUCUGUUCAAAUGCAUCUUCAAGCAUCCCCCGAAGGGCAUAGAGAGGGAGAACACUCUGGAUCAGAGCCUGAACCCAUGGAGGUAGGGGUCUCACACCUUCCGGCUGCUGAACGAUGCAGACGGGGGCUGUAUUGUGGUCAAGGAGGGCACCAGUUCCAGCCGUGUCCGGUGCUUGCUAAUCCGGGAUCCACAAGAGCAGAGUGAUGGUCACGUGAUCUUCCACCUCAUAGGACAGGAGCUGGUGGUUCCUGGUCCCCUAGCUGGACACCGAGGGGGGGGUCUGGCCUAUGCCGUCAGAUCUCUACUGGACUCCCGACUGUUGUGAGGGUCGGCUUCAGUACCUGGUGGACUGCUAGGGGUAUAGCCCAGAGGAGCGGUGUUGGAUUCCUGGUGGAGGACAUUCUGGAUCCCAACACCAUCCGUGAAUACCAUCUUUUACCGACUGGCCCGCUCCUCGUCCUCGGGGCCAUCCCUUUGGUCGGCGUCAUCCUGCGGCUGGAGCCGCGCGCCAGGGUACUGACUCGUCUGCUCCUCCCCUCCGGCGUCACCGGUAUACUAACCACCAGUCCUGGGAUCCAUCAUUACACAUACUUGUACGCCAUGAGGCACACCUGGACUCUGUUACCUCACUUAUUACCGCUCCUAUAUCUGGCACACCCUUAGGUUCCUUCCCCAGUCAGUAUUGAUCCUGUGUUUAUGCAAAGAUACUACUAUGUUGUCUGGU